UAAUGUUUUAAAUAAUUUUAAAAAAUCCUGUUUGCUUUUCUCAGGUGUGUAGCUUUAGAGAUAACCAAGAAACUAUUUAAGGACUUGCUUACUCAUUGGGUAGAAAUGGAAUCAUAAAAAAUCUUUCAUCUGCUCCAUUUCCACCAAUUGCUAAACCCACAAACUGAAUUGAGGGAUAUUAUUCAUCUCUGCUGCUUUCAAAAACUAACCAGAUGAAGACUUGGUAGACAGGAUGUUACACAAACAUCCUGGAUGUUCUCAGAUGUGCUUUCCUGAUGUCUUGCCACCUCUAGCGCUUUUGAAGGUAGCAUUUUUCAGCUUUCAGAAAGCAAGAUAAGUGCUAUCUGCCAAGAGCUGCUUUGAUGCAGCAGAACCAAAACCUACACUUACCUAAAACUUUAACACUAGCUGUAACAAAUCUACUUCGGAGUUUUCAAUUUUAGAAGGAAAAGCACUGAGAAUAUGACGUGCUACAGAAUCUGCCUGUGGGGACAUCAGCGACCUUUUAUUUCAGAGACCUUUGCCCACAACUGGGAUGGACGAUGGUAAGAGUGAUUUGCAAAAUGUAACUCUGAGAGUAUCAAACUUUAAAACAUCACUGCUCUGCAGGUUUUUCUGGCAGAGUAAAUGUGUCCCCAACUGAUAUAUCUCCUCUUCUAUGUCCUGUACAUCUAUAACCACAAACACACCUUCAUCUCCAGCUCUCAUCAUGUGGGCAAGUACCUUUUGUCCUCAAUGGAAGAAAUAAAGUCAUGGAUUUCAAAUUUUUAUUACAUUUUUAUUUUCUCUUCAGUCUGGCUUGUGCUUGUUACUCUUUCCUCUACAUUAAGAGGCUAUUUGAAACUAUCUUUGUGCAUCGAUUUUCUAAUUGCACCAUGCCUCUCAGAGCCAUUAUUAGGAAUUGUGUUUAUUAGCCUACUGGGAUUUUGCAACUUGGCUAUAGCAUACUACAUUAACCACCCUCUCUACACACCACCAUCAUAUGGAGAUACACAGGUCAAAAAUGUCUGAGAUUCCCACAUCCAUCUAAAAACCCUUUUAUGUGGCUCUUUUACUUUGUAUCAUGUCCCAUCUACACAUGAGGUGAGUGUUUAGGUGGGCCUGUCUAUCAUGACCCAGUGUGUGGCAGGUUUCAAAUGACCAUCUGGGCCAAAGGAAAACACAAAACUUAAACCCGGGAGUUCAAGGACUACCCAUACUUCCACACGUCAAUCCUCCCUUUCAUCCUCUGACAUUCAUAUAAACCAAUGUCAGGUCAAAAUCCAGAGACAUUAUGAUUUCAGAUGAGAGAACUGGGACACUUCUGAACAGCUGCAUGAAAAUGAGGCUGAUUUAUGAAACCCUGUGAAAAGGAUUAUGAAGUUAAAUCCGCUUUUCAGCAAUAUCUGACGUUUAUCAUGCAAGAUGACGUCUAACAUUGUUGUGUUUACUAUGGUAUGCCACUUGGGAAUUUAAAUAAGCAGAUUUGUAGGAAUUUGUGUUGACACAAGAUAUUUCUGUUGGUUAAAUCAUUUCCACAACUAUCCAUGUGCAAAAUACAGCACUUUACCUCUGUAGUCCAACUACUUCAGCAUGAAAGAAAAUCGUUUUUCUUCAUUUGUUUUACUUGAAAUCUAAAUAAGUGGUUCAAAUGGUUAUAAAAUAAAAAAAUUUACCGACUCCAUUUAAUACAUUUUUCUAGACUGUUUUGA